GCAUGUAAGGUCAAAGCGUAGCUAAAUUUAGUGCCAUUAGCCUUGGCUUAUGAUCCUUUACUGCUGUGGCCAAUAAAAGGCGAUGAGCUGCCUCUAAACCAGAUCAAACCAAACACAGUCUCAGACACAACCUCUGCACAACAAUCAGCACUGCGAUCCUACAAGCUUGUCCUUCAGGAUGAAACCCAGAAGAUUACUCUUGUCCGUGGCUACUCUACCGACAAUAACAGAGUCGCAUGAGGACCUCUCGCAGUCCCUGGAGGAAUACAUAAACUCCAUCAAGGAACUUGCCCAGCCUGCUUGCGGCCCUUUGAGGAUAUCCAGAACUCAGAGGCGUAAGCCCAUGGGGAAGCAUGCUGGUUCUACCUCAACGUCACGCACCGCUUCCCGGGCUCUGCAGCCCCGCCGCGCUUCCCUAGGUCUGGACGAGGUCACGCUGAGGUUCAACAGUCAGAUGGACCGGGGCUCUAAAGACCCCCUGGACUGGUUGUUUGCGCAGACGCAUUAACAGUCACACAGAGAGGAUUUGCGCAGGACUGUCAGUGCACCUGCUGCUUUGUGGUUACUCUAAUGAGCCAAAGCAUAACGUCAUAUUGAUGAGAGGAUAACACUGAACGAGUGAUGGAUGAACUCAGAGGAUCUCAUGAACUGAACUUCUUAAUUUAUUGUCUGAACAGAC